rnacentral:rRNA from 1 species
AUUGAACGCUGGCGGCAGGCCUAACACAUGCAAGUCGAGCGGCAGCGGAAAGUAGCUUGCUACUUUGCCGGCGAGCGGCGGACGGGUGAGUAAUGUCUGGGAAACUGCCUGAUGGAGGGGGAUAACUACUGGAAACGGUAGCUAAUACCGCAUAACGUCGCAAGACCAAGAGGGGGACCUUCGGGCCUCUUGCCAUCAGAUGUGCCCAGAUGGGAUUAGCUAGUAGGUGGGGUAACGGCUCACCUAGGCGACGAUCCCUAGCUGGUCUGAGAGGAUGACCAGCCACACUGGAACUGAGACGCGGUCCAGACUCCUACGGGAGGCAGCAGUGGGGAAUAUUGCACAAUGGGCGCAAGCCUGAUGCAGCCAUGCCGCGUGUAUGAAGAAGGCCUUCGGGUUGUAAAGUACUUUCAGCGGGGAGGAAGGCGUUGUGGUUAAUAACCACAGCGAUUGACGUUACCCGCAGAAGAAGCACCGGCUAACUCCGUGCCAGCCGCCGCGGUAACAC